CAUUUUCCAUAUAUAAAUUAUUUUAUUCGAAAUAAAUGGAGGCUUAUUGUCUGUGCAAAUUGGCAAUUGUUUACAUGAGAAAGUUAAUCAUAACAUUUCAUUUGUAUAUUUGCUUGUUUGAGUCAUCUUUAUUUUUCUUCUUUCUUGGUGUUUCUCUUGUAUGCCAGGUUUUUGUUCUCUUUCUUUUGAUCACUAUUAUUUUAUAUAAAAAAAAAAUUGACGAUGCCUUAUUGUUUGUUGUUACUGAUAAUUUUGUGAUUUAGGUUGGUUUGCUUGAGAGUGCAUCCGUCCUUUAACCUCUUACAUCCCAUGAAAACUUUUGUCUCAUUCACUUCUGUUGAUGGAUCAAAGCAUGAAAUUCGACCUGAUUCUGGGGAUCGAUUUUAUGAAGGGAAUCUUAUGCCAAAUGGUAGUUAUGCUCUUUUUUUCCUUCUUCAUUUUAUGAAUUCUUUGUUUUUUUAUUUUAUAGAAAAAUGUGAAAGCAUAUGCAAAACAAAAGAAAACUUUGACUAUAAAAAAAGAUGAACAAGAUGGUCAAAAAACAAUGUUUCUGUUAGUAAAAUCCACAUCCACUCAAGUUUGUUCUAAUUGUUAAUAAGGCGUACAUAAAUGAUGAAUUUU
rnacentral:misc_RNA from 1 species